rnacentral:rRNA from 1 species
CAUGUCUUUUUGAUUAUAAUUUAAAGUCUGACCUGCUCAAUGAGAAUUUAAAUUGCCGCAGUAUUUUGACUGUGCAAAGGUAGCAUAAUAAUUAGUUUUUUUAUUGAAAGCUGGAAUGAAUGGUUUGACAAGGGAGCAUCUGUCUCUUUAUUAUUUUUUUUUGAAUUUAAUUUUUAAGUUAAAAGGCUUAAAUUUUUUUAAAAGACGAGAAGACCCUAUAGAGUUUUAUUUUUUUUUUGAUUUUUAUUUUUAGGUAUUAAAUGUUUUUAUUAAAGAAAAAAUUUAGUUGGGGUGACUAAAAGAUUGAAUUAACUCUUAUAAAUUUUAUAUCAUUGAUUUGUGAAUAUUUAAAUCUAUGUUUUUAAUAAUAAAUUAAAUUACCUUAGGGAUAACAGCGUUAUUUUUUUUUAGAGUUCUUAUUGAAAGAAAAGUUUGCGACCUCGAUGUUGGAUUAAAGUUAAUUUUUGGUGAAGGAGCUAAUUAAUUGAGUCUGUUCGACUUUUGAAACUUUACAUGAUCUGAGU